rnacentral:rRNA from 1 species
GACGAACGCUGGCGGCGUGCCUAAUACAUGCAAGUCGAGCGGACCGACGGGAGCUUGCUCCCUUAGGUCAGCGGCGGACGGGUGAGUAACACGUGGGUAACCUGCCUAUAAGACUGGGAUAACUCCGGGAAACCGGGGCUAAUACCGGAUGCUUGUUUGAACCGCAUGGUUCAAACAUAAAAGGUGGCUUUUCGCUACCACUUACAGAUGGACCCGCGGCGCAUUAGCUAGUUGGUGGGGUAACGGCUCACCAAGGCAACGAUGCGUAGCCGAGCUGAGAGGGGGAUCGGCCACACUGGGAAUGGGACACGGCCCAGACUACUACGGGAGGCAGCAGUAGGGAAUCUUCCGCAAUGGACGAAAGUCUGACGGAGCAACGCCGCGUGAGUGAUGAAGGUUUUCGGAUCGUAAAACUCUGUUGUUAGGGAAGAACAAGUACCGUUCGAACAGGGCGGUACCUUGACGGUACCUAACCAGAAAGCCACGGCUAACUACGUGCCAGCCGCCGCCGUAAAAC